GCUGUGAUGGCCGAGUGGUUAAGGCGUUGGACUUGAAAUCCAAUGCGCAGGUUCAAACCCUGCUCACAGCG